AGAUUGAACGCUGGCGGCAUGCCUUACACAUGCAAGUCGAACGGCAGCACGGGGGCAACCCUGGUGGCGAGUGGCGAACGGGUGAGUAACAUAUCGGAACGUGCCCUGGAGUGGGGGAUAACUAGUCGAAAGAUUAGCUAAUACCGCAUACGAUCUACGGAUGAAAGUGGGGGAUCGCAAGACCUCAUGCUCGUGGACGCGGCCAGUAUCUGAUUAGCUAGUUGGUGAGGUAAAGCUACACAAGGCGACGAUCCUUAGCUGGUCUGAGAGGAUGAUCAGCCCAACACUGGGAACUGGAGUAACACGGCCCAGACCUCCGUAACGGGAGCAGCAGUAGGAUAGUGACAAGUGGAC
rnacentral:rRNA from 1 species